GUGGGGAAUAUUGGACAAUGGGCGAAAGCCUGAUCCAGCCAUGCCGCGUGUGUGAAGAAGGUCUUCGGAUUGUAAAGCACUUUAAGUUGGGAGGAAGGGCAGUAAGUUAAUACCUUGCUGUUUUGACGUUACCGACAGAAUAAGCACCGGCUAACUUCGUGCCAGCAGCCGCGGUAAUACGAAGGGUGCAAGCGUUAAUCGGAAUUACUGGGCGUAAAGCGCGCGUAGGUGGUUUUGUAAGUUGGAGGUGAAAUCCCCGGGCUCAACCUGGGAACUGCCUCAAAAACUACUGAGCUAGAGUACGGUAGAGGGUAGUGGAAUUUCCUGUGUAGCGGUGAAAUGCGUAGAUAUAGGAAGGAACACCAGUGGCGAAGGCGACUACCUGGACUGAUACUGACACUGAGGUGCGAAAGCGUGGGGAGCAAACAGGAUUAGAAACCCGGGUAGUCC
rnacentral:rRNA from 1 species